rnacentral:lncRNA from 1 species
ACAAUAUGCCCAUAAAAAUGAAACCAAUUCAUUAUCUUCAAUACCAUAUGAAGAACAAAAAAACAGUAGGAGAGAAUUGCCUUAAAAUACCGGAACUUCGAGUAGCCGACUCAAAUGACAGGAUAAUAAGAUAAUUGGACGAGGAAACCAUUGAAGUUCACGAAGAAAGGCCUCCUCUAUCUAAUUCUGCCAUAUCAUUUUAAAUAUAAGGUGGAAGCGAGAAAGCAGCUUAACUCGGCCGAUGAAGAACGCGGUCCAACAAUUUUUUCAAAAAAGCUUGCAAACCUUGCGCUGGAAAGAGCUGCUGUUCGUGACCUCCUCAUCCAAGAACGGAAUCUUCAACAAGGAUGCUAUUUGAGAUACACUAACCCGCAUACUAAUACUGAGAAAAUUUAAAAAUUUCAGAGGCAAUUUACACUGUCAAAACUAAGGACAAACAGCAGAAGUCAACUCACAAUAUCAUAAGCCUUCUCUCACGCCAUGUGUUGCGCCGUCGUAACUUGAGAAUUGAGCAUCUGAAAACCCCAAAACAACAACAACGAAGUCAGAAGGAAACCCAACGAAUUCAGAGAACGCUCAGCUCAACCCAAACCAGCAACCCCCGCAAUGCCAAACCCAAACACACCGGAAAAACCAAACAAAAAGAGGAAGUCAUCAACAUCCUGGGACCUGGUCUUGCACGUUUCG